GAUGAACGCUGGCGGCGUGCCUAAUACAUGCAAGUCGAGCGAACGGACGAGAAUCUUGCUUCUCUGAUGUUAGCGGCGGACGUGUGAGUAACACGUGUAUAACCUACCUAUAAUACUGGGAUCACUUCGGGAAACCGUAUCUAAUCCCGGAUAAUAUUUUGCACCGCAUGGUUCAAAAGUGAAAUACGGUCUUGCUGUCACUUAUAGAUGGAUCCGCGCUGCAUUAGCUAGUUGUUAAGGUAACGGCUUACCAAGGCAACGAUGCAUAGCCGACCUGAGAGGGUGAUAGGCCACACGGGAGCGGAGACAGGGACAAGGCUACUAAGGGAGGGAGCAGAAGGGAAUCUUACGCAAUGGGCGAAAGCAUGACGGAGCAACGCCGAGUGAGUGAUGAAGGUCUUCGGAUCGGAAAAAUCUGUUAUGAGGGAAGAACAGAUGUGGAAGUAAAUGUGCAGAGCGUGACGGUACCUAAUCAGAAAGCCACGGCUAACUACGUG
rnacentral:rRNA from 1 species